rnacentral:lncRNA from 1 species
AUAUAUAAAUAGAUCAAUGUUUAAGAUUUUGAUUUUCAAAUAAGACGUCCUUCAAAAUUUUGUAACAUCACUCAGGUAGCAGCUGUCAGUGGAUCAAACCUAUUCCAGGGAUAUAAUAUGUAAAGAUGUGACAUUUUAAAUAAAGCGAGUAAAAUAACUGGUAUUUUCUUUCCGUAAUGCCACUAAUAGUAAUAUGAUAUAUCUGACUUGGAGCAACAUGUACUAUUCAAUAUGGAAGGAUUGACAAUUUUGACUGAGAACAAAGUGACCUCUAAUAAUGCUAUGACUAUCAAUCAGUAUUUCACUGAAUCAGAGG